rnacentral:rRNA from 1 species
GACGAACGCUGGCGGCGUGCCUAAUACAUGCAAGUCGAGCGAAGUUUUUCUGGUGCUUGCACCGGAAAAACUUAGCGGCGAACGGGUGAGUAACACGUAAAGAACCUGCCUCAUAGACUGGGACAACUAUUGGAAACGAUAGCUAAUACCGGAUAAUAGCAUUAACUGCAUGGUUGAUGUUUAAAAGUUGGUUUUGCUAACACUAUGAGAUGGCUUUGCGGUGCAUUAGCUAGUUGGUGGGGUAAAGGCCUACCAAGGCGACGAUGCAUAGCCGACCUGAGAGGGUGAUCGGCCACACUGGGACUGAGACACGGCCCAGACUCCUACGGGAGGCAGCAGUAGGGAAUCUUCCGCAAAGGGCGAAAGCCUGACGGAGCAACGCCGCGUGAGUGAAGAAGGAUUUCGGUUCGUAAAGCUCUGUUGUUAGGGAAGAAUGAUUGUGUAGUAACUAUACACAGUAGAGACGGUACCUAACCAGAAAGCCACGGCUAACUACGUG